AUGUUGCUGAAGUUAUGGCUGAGAGAGAGAAAAGAGUCCCCGCCUACUUUCUUAAAACUACUGAACGAGAUUCCGGAGGAGGAGGAAAAUGAAGCCGCCCGCUGUAAGCUUGAUGCAACGGUGAAACCAGUAAUCCCAAAAGCGCAGCCACCACCAAAUCCCACUGAGAUUCAAGCAUUGAAAGCUGAGGUCAAGGAGCUGCGUGCCAAGCUGGAAGAGUCACGCAAGGCACCAGAAUCACCUGAAGCCCCAAAACAGAAAGCAAAGAUGACUUCUGAGAGUGCUGAAGCACGAAUAGACCCUGAAGUACAGAGCUUGAAGACUCAAGUCCAGCAACUGCAAAAACAUAUUGUCUGUAAUGAAAGUAGUGGGCAAUGUGUAACCCCGAAAAGAACGACAUUUCAGUGGCAAGCUGUGAGCUCUUAUGAGAGAAACAGGCCCUCAGUCAGCCGUGAUGAUUUCUUUUGUUACCGAUGUGGUGGCGAUGGGCACAUUGCCAGCCAGUGUCAAGAAUCAGAAAACCCCCCGGAAGUGAUCAGAAAGCUGCUCCGUGCACUAAAGAGAGCCAAGGGUGGGAAGAGUGAGUCGAUUCCACAUCCGACUGUGAGCAGAGAUGCACACUGCAAGAAGAGCCAUGUUCGUAAACCUGCUCAAAGUAACCAUCCUAGUGGUUUGGUAGGUCCCGCCUCCACUAUUUGCGUUAAGAUCAAUGGCCAUUCAUGUAAUGCCUUAUUGGACAGUGGAUCUCAAGUCACAAUAAUAUUUGACAAGUGGCAAAAGAAAUACUUGCCCAAUGUUCCCAUCCACCCCAUCACUGGUCUUUCAAUAUGGGGUUUGAGCUCCUCCAGCUACCCAUAUCAAGGCUACAUAGUAGUAGAUGUGGAGUUUCCAGCCACACUUACAGGAGUGAGUGAGUCUAUCUCUGUGUUAGCAUUAGUUUGUCCCGAGUCAAGUGGCCCAGACCAUGUUCCUGUCAUCAUUGGGACGAAUGCCAACUUAUUCCAUCGUUUAGCUGCUCUUUGUAAAGAUGCUGACAUUCCAGACUCACAGGCUCACGCUUUCAGAAUUUUGCCACAGACAAAACCAGUGAAACUCUCCCAUAGCCAAGAGGUGGAUGUGGAAGAGCCGAAGGGGGAAGUAAAAUGGAUGGGUCCGGGUCCUCUAUCUGUCCCUGCCAGAGGUGAACGAUAUGUCGUCUGCAAAGUUGGAUGCAAGGAGCCCUUAGAAAAAGACAUAGUCAUGGUUGAAACACCUCUUUCUGUGACCCUACCUGCUGGAGUGCUCAUUCAGCCGGUGGUGCUAACAUCAUCUGAGCUAAAUGUCAACAGUUUCGAAAGUACUGCUGAGAAAUGA
rnacentral:lncRNA from 1 species